rnacentral:rRNA from 1 species
UACGUAGGGUGCGAGCGUUAAUUGGAAUUACUGGGCGUAAAGCGUGCGCAGGCGGUUCGUUGUGUCUGAUGUGAAAGCCCCGGGCUUAACCUGGGAAUGGCAUUGGAAACUGGCGAGCUUGAGUGUGGCAGAGGGGGGUGGAAUUCCGCGUGUAGCAGUGAAAUGCGUAGAGAUGCGGAGGAACACCGAUGGCGAAGGCAGCCCCCUGGGCCAACACUGACGCUCAGGCACGAAAGCGUGGGGAGCAAACAGG